rnacentral:rRNA from 1 species
GACGAACCUUGCUAACGUUAUUCGGAAUUACUGGGCUUAAAGGGUGCGUAGGCGGUUCAGAAAGUUGGGUGUGAAAGCCCUCGGCUCAACCGAGGAAUUGCGCCCAAAACUGCUGCACUAGAGGAAGACAGAGGUACGCGGAACUUAGGGUGGAGCGGUGAAAUGCGUUGAUAUCCUAAGGAACACCGGUGGCGAAAGCGGCGUACUGGGUCUUAUCUGACGCUGAGGCACGAAAGCUAGGGGAGCGAACGGG